AUGGCUGAGCCAGAGAAGUACGCGACGGAGACAGAGACGGAGGCGACGGACACUGACACGACGGAGACGGAGACGGAGUCUCACGCGACGGCGACGGCGACGGACACGGACACAUCGGAGGCAGGGACGGCGUCAGACACGACGGACACGGACAGCAGCGUGCCGGAGCUGACACGGGAGGAGAUGCUGCGGCUGCUGGAGCCGGACCCGGAGCUGACGGACGAGGAGAAGGCGCUGCGGGCGCUCCACAUCGUCUGCUGCCGAGAGCUCACCGAGUACGACCCCAAGUCCAACGCCGACGUCUGCACCCGCUUCUCCAGCUUCAACAUAGCCUUCUUCGACCUCGACCAAGAGUCCGAGGCUAUGCAUGGCCCGCGGCUUCAGGAGCUCACCUCUUCUCAGCAGAGCUCGGCUGUGCAAUCAUCGGUCAACGUCAUUUCCCUCAAGGUGGUCGACUCCGACGUGGGCUACCCGAUCAGCGUGUUUGGCACUGUGCUCGCGAGGGACGAUGCCGACUACAGAUGUGUCUACUUGUUCCGCCGCGACAGGGAUGAUCCCCAGUUCAUCGAGUCGCCGGAGGACAUGCUGACUUUGACAGGCCCAAACCGAGGGCUCGUUGUGCCAGACACCAUCUUCUUCGAGUUCAAUCUGAAGAUCAAGGGUGACGGAACCACCGGCGACAGAGAUUUCAGCAAAGGUGUCAUAGAACACUACCCUGUACCAUUGGAGAAGGGACCCAAGGCUGAGCUGCUAUCUAGCUGGCUGAGCACGGUAGAACUGGUACUAGCGCCCGUUCCGUUUGCCGUGGCAGCUACCGUCAAAAUCAGUAUUCUGAAUGGACCCUGCGACGCCCCUUUCAGUGACAAGAUAACCGCUUGGACCGCCGGAGACACUGAGAGCCAUAUCAUUCUAUAUGAUGAACACGAAAACAGAGCGAGAUUGAUCGGAGAUGGCGGUUCGAUCGCGUUAAGCCGUGAUUUGGUGGCCGUCCACGUCCCUAAUUCCUUGUAUGAUGAUGAGUAUGAAGAAAUCGCGCUCAGUGUCUGUUUUACUUCCAGUGAUGGUGAGGGUGAGUGCAGCUGUGUCACUCUACAGUACCCUCAGGAGGAGAAGGUUUGCAAUCAUGGUGCCUAUGAGCUUCAGGUGGAGGUUACCUGGACAGCCAUUCUGGAAGGGCCGUUUGGCACAGAUGUUGACAAAAGAUGGAGCUCUGUUCCUCUGAAACCAUUUUUUUUCUGA
rnacentral:rRNA from 1 species